ACACGUGAGUAACCUGCCCUUGACUUCGGGAUAACUCCGGGAAACCGGGGCUAAUACCGGAUAUGAGCCGUCCUCGCAUGGGGGUGGUUGGAAAGUUUUUCGGUCAGGGAUGGGCUCGCGGCCUAUCAGCUUGUUGGUGGGGUGAUGGCCUACCAAGGCGACGACGGGUAGCCGGCCUGAGAGGGCGACCGGCCACACUGGGACUGAGACACGGCCCAGACUCCUACGGGAGGCAGCAGUGGGGAAUAUUGCACAAUGGGCGAAAGCCUGAUGCAGCGACGCCGCGUGAGGGAUGAAGGCCUUCGGGUUGUAAACCUYUUUCAGCAGGGAAAGAAGCGCAAGUGACGGUACCUGCAGAAGAAGCGCCGGCUAAYUACGUGCCAGCAGCCGCGGUAAUACGUAGGGCGCAAGCGUUGUCCGGAAUUAUUGGGCGUAAAGAGCUCGUAGGCGGUUUGUCGCGUCUGGUGUGAAAACUCGAGGCUCAACCUCGAGCUUGCAUCGGGUACGGGCAGACUAGAGUGCGGUAGGGGAGACUGGAAUUCCUGGUGUAGCGGUGGAAUGCGCAGAUAUCAGGAGGAACACCGAUGGCGAAGGCAGGUCUCUGGGCCGCAACUGACGCUGAGGAGCGAAAGCAUGGGGAGCGAACAGGAUUAGAUACCCUGGUAGUCCAUGCCGUAAACGUUGGGCACUAGGUGUGGGGCUCAUUCCACGAGUUCCGUGCCGCAGCAAACGCAUUAAGUGCCCCGCCUGGGGAGUACGGCCGCAAGGCUAAAACUCAAAGGAAUUGACGGGGGCCCGCACAAGCGGCGGAGCAUGCGGAUUAAUUCGAUGCAACGCGAAGAACCUUACCAAGGCUUGACAUGCACGAGAAGCCACCAGAGAUGGUGGUCUCUUUGGACACUCGUGCACAGGUGGUGCAUGGUUGUCGUCAGCUCGUGUCGUGAGAUGUUGGGUUAAGUCCCGCAACGAGCGCAACCCUCGUCCCAUGUUGCCAGCGGGUUAUGCCGGGGACUCAUGGGAGACUGCCGGGGUCAACUCGGAGGAAGGUGGGGAUGACGUCAAAUCAUCAUGCCCCUUAUGUCUUGGGCUUCACGCAUGCUACAAUGGCCGGUACAAAGGGCUGCGAUACCGUAAGGUGGAGCGAAUCCCAAAAAGCCGGUCUCAGUUCGGAUUGGGGUCUGCAACUCGACCCCAUGAAGUCGGAGUCGCUAGUAAUCGCAGAUCAGCAACGCUGCGGUGAAUACGUUCCCGGGCCUUGUACACACCGCCCGUCAAGUCACGAAAGUCGGUAACACCCGAAGCCCAUGGCCCAACCGUUCGCGGGGGGAG
rnacentral:rRNA from 1 species